rnacentral:rRNA from 1 species
UACGUAGGGUGCAAGCGUUGUCCGGAAUUAUUGGGCGUAAAGAGCUCGUAGGCGGUCUGUCGCGUCUGCUGUGAAAAUCCAGGGCUCAACCCUGGACCUGCAGUGGGUACGGGCAGACUAGAGUGCGGUAGGGGAGAUCGGAAUUCCUGGUGUAGCGGUGAAAUGCGCAGAUAUCAGGAGGAACACCGGUGGCGAAGGCAGGUCUCUGGGCUGUAACUGACGCUGAGGAGCGAAAGCAUGGGGAGCGAACAGG